GGUGAGUAACGCGUGGGCAACCUGCCUUGAGGAUGGGGAUAGCCGCUAGAAAUAGCGGGUAAUACCGAAUACGCCUGCGGCGCCCCGGCGCCGCAGGGAAAGGGGCUUCGGCCCCGCCUUGAGAUGGGCCCGCGUCCCAUUAGGUAGUUGGCGGGGCAAAGGCCCACCAAGCCGAAGAUGGGUAGCCGGCCUGAGAGGGCGAACGGCCACACUGGGACUGAGAUACGGCCCAGACUCCUACGGGAGGCAGCAGCUAAGAAUAUUCCGCAAUGGACGAAAGUCUGACGGAGCGACGCCGCGUGGAUGAGGAAGGCCGAAAGGUUGUAAAAUCCUUUUGCGGGCGAAGAAUAAGCGGGGCAGGGAAUGGCCGCGCGAUGACGUUAGCCCGUGAAUAAGCCCCGGCUAAUUACGUGCCAGCAGCCGCGGUAACACGUAAGGGGCGAGCGUUGUUCGGAAUUAUUGGGCGUAAAGGGCGCGUAGGCGGCCGCGUAAGUCUGAUGUGAAAACCCUGGGCUCAACCCGGGAACUGCAUUGGAAACUGCGCGGCUUGAGUCACGGAGGGGAAGCCGGAAUUCCUGGUGUAGGGGUGAAAUCUGUAGGUAUCAGGAAGAACACCGAUGGCGAAGGCAGGCUUCCAGCCGAUGACUGACGCUGAGGCGCGAAAGUGCGGGGAGCAAACAGGAUUAGAUACCCUGGUAGUCCGCACUAUAAACGAUGCACACUAGGUGUUGGGCCGAGCGGCUCAGUGCCGGAGCGAACGCGAUAAGUGUGCCGCCUGGGGAGUAUGCCCGCAAGGGUGAAACUCAAGGAAUUGACGGAAUCGAAUUCCCGCGGCC
rnacentral:rRNA from 1 species